rnacentral:rRNA from 1 species
GAGGAAUAUUGGUCAAUGGAGGCAACUCUGAACCAGCCAUGCCGCGUGCAGGAAGACGGUCCUAUGGAUUGUAAACUGCUUUUAUUUAGGAAUAAACCCCCGGUCGUGCACCGGGGCUGAAUGUACUAAAAGAAUAAGCACCGGCUAACUCCGUGCCAGCAGCCGCGGUAAUACGGAGGGUGCAAGCGUUAUCCGGAAUCAUUGGGUUUAAAGGGUCCGCAGGCGGGUAAAUAAGUCAGAGGUGAAAUCCGGCAGCUCAACUGUCGCACUGCCUUUGAUACUGUUUAUCUUGAAUUUUAGUGGAGUGGGCGGAAUAUGUCAUGUAGCGGUGAAAUGCUUAGAUAUGACGUGGAACACCGAUAGCGAAGGCAGCUCACUAACUAUGAAUUGACGCUCAUGGACGAAAGCGUGGGUAGCAAAC